rnacentral:rRNA from 1 species
UGGGGAAUAUUGCACAAUGGAGGGAACUCUGAUGCAGCGACGCCGCGUGAACGAAGAAGGCUUUCGAGUCGUAAAGUUCUUUUAUAUGGGAAGAUAAUGACGGUACCAUAAGAAAAAGCCCCGGCUAACUACUUGCCAGCAGCCGCGGUAAUACGUAGGGGGCUAGCGUUUUCCGGAAUCACUGGGCGUAAAGGGUUCGCAGGCGGAAAUGCAAGUCAGGUGUAAAAGGCAGUAGCUUAACUACUGUAAGCAUUUGAAACUGCAUAUCUUGAGAAGAGUAGAGGUAAGUGGAAUUUUUAGUGUAGCGGUGAAAUGCGUAGAUAUUAAAAAGAAUACCGGUGGCGAAGGCGACUUACUGGGCUAAUUCUGACGCUGAGGAACGAAAGCGUGGGUAGCAAACAGG